UGAGGAAUAUUGGGCAAUGGAGGCAACUCUGACCCAGCAACGCCGCGUGAAGGAAGAAGGUUUUCGGAUUGUAAACUUCUGUUAUAGGGGAAAAAGAAAGUGAUGGUACCCUAUGAGAAAGCUACGGCAAACUAUGUGCCAGCAGCCGCGGUAAUACAUAGGUAGCGAGCGUUAUCCGGAAUAACUGGGCGUAAAGGGAGUGCAGGUGGUAAUUUGUGUCUUGUGUGAAAGCCCUUGGCUUAACUAAGGGAUUGCAUAAGAAACUGGGUUACUAGAGUGCGAGAGAGGCAAGUGGAAUUCCUAGUGUAGCGGUAGAAUGCGUAGAGAUUAGGAGGAACACCAGAGGCGAAGGCGACUUGCUGGCUCGUAACUGACACUGAGACUCGAAAGCGUGGGGAGCAAACAGG
rnacentral:rRNA from 1 species